GAUGAACGCUGGCGGCGUGCCUAAUACAUGCAAGUCGAGCGAACAGACGAGGAGCUUGCUCCUCUGACGUUAGCGGCGGACGGGUGAGUAACACGUGGAUAACCUACCUAUAAGACUGGGAUAACUUCGGGAAACCGGAGCUAAUACCGGAUAAUAUAUUGAACCGCAUGGUUCAAUAGUGAAAGACGGUUUUGCUGUCACUUAUAGAUGGAUCCGCGCCGCAUUAGCUAGUUGGUAAGGUAACGGCUUACCAAGGCAACGAUGCGUAGCCGAACUGAGAGGGUGAUCGGCCACACUGGAACUGAGACACGGUCCAGACUCCUACGGGAGGCAGCAGUAGGGAAUCUUACGCAAUGGGCGAAAGCCUGACGGAGCAACGCCGCGUGAGUGAUGAAGGUCUUCGGAUCGUAAAACUCUGUUAUUAGGGAAGAACAAAUGUGUAAGUAACUAUGCACGUCUUGACGGUACCUAAUAAGAAAGCCACGGCUAACUACGUG
rnacentral:rRNA from 1 species